GAGUAGGGCUCUGAGUGAAGGGCACGGGGGUGGGGGAGGGCGCUUUGGGGACUCUUAUUUUGUACAGUAAGCCAGAUCCUGGUCCACCACUGUGCUUUCCUACUGGGAUCUGCCAAAGGCCGUCAGUCCCGUAAGGAGAGAUGGUCACAGGGGGAGACAUCCUGCUGACCUGUCAGCCUCAAAGCAGCGGGAAGUAUCCCGAGCUCUUCUUUCGGAGGAAGCCUGACUCCACUCCCAGCUCGCCAGGAAUCAAGUGGCUUCAGCCUCUAGCUCCCAACCCGCCUCACUCUGACCCUGGAGAAGGGAAUGGCUGAGUGUGGGACCAGCAGUUGGACCCUGAGUGACUAUCCGGUUGUUGGGAUAGCAGAAGCCAUGAGCAGGGCUUGCUGUCUAGCCUCACCUUGCUGUCUCCCAAGGGCAGCUAGGACCCUCUGUGUUUGCGUUCCCUUCCUCAUCCAUAUCCGGCUCUUAUUCAGUGGCUAAUACAAAGCAAACACUUAAUAAACGCGUGCUAAGUCAAUGUUGACGGA